AAGUUUGAUUUUUGCUUUGAGCUUUGUUUUAUAAUUAUUUAGUAUAUGUAAAUUUUGGUGAAAUAUAUUUGCUUAAAGUAUAGUGUAUAUAGGUAUGCAAUAUUUAAUAUUAUCAAUAGGAGAAAUCUUGAGUUAGUAAAUUAUAAUAAGUUUGACAAAAUCUUGUGCCAGCAGUCGCGGUUAUACUUGAAAAUUAAAUAAAGUAUAUUAGUAGAUUAAUAAAUUAAUUAAAAUAAGAGUUUAUGUUUAUAAAAAGUGAAAUUGGGUUAUAAAAUAUAAAGACUUAUUUGAAAAUUAAGGUAGUGAAACUUAAAAAACUAAGGUAUGAAUUAGGAUUAGAUACCCUAGUACACUUAGACUUAAUUUAUAAAUACUAGAAUAUUAGGAGUUAUGUUCUUUAAAUUUAAGAAAUUUGGCGGUGUUUUAGUCUAGUUAGAGGAACCUGUUUUAUAAACGAUACAACACGCAUUAUUUUACUUAUUUUAGUUAAUCAGCUUGUAUACCGUCAUUAUAAGAUAAUUUAGGAGAAAAUAUUAUUGAAAUCAUAUUAUUGAGUAUAUUAGAUCAAGGUGCAGCUUAUAAAUAAGUAAAUAUGGGUUACAAUAAAAUUUAUUUAAUAUGAAUUAAGUAUUUAAAUAUAUUUAUGAAGGAGGAUUUAAUUGUAAGAAAAGGAGUAGUGAGAUUUUUUGAUAUAAGCUCUAAAUUAUGUACAUAUCGCCCGUCGCUUUCAUUUAAUGUGAAAUAAGUCGUAACAUAGUAGGGGUCUGGAAAGUGUCUCUAGAAUUA